GAUGAACGCUAGCGGCAGGCUUAACACAUGCAAGUCGAGGGGCAUCACGGGUAGCAAUACCUGGUGGCGACCGGCGCAAGGGUGCGUAACGCGUGAGCAACAUGCCCUAUACAGGGGGAUAAUCCAGGGAAACUUGGUCUAAUAUCCCAUAGCAUUUAGAGGUGGCAUCACCAUUAAAUUAAAGCUUCGGUGGUAUAGGAUUGGCUCGCGUGACAUUAGCUAGAUGGUGGGGUAACGGCUCACCAUGGCUAUGAUGUCUAGGGGUUCUGAGAGGAAGACCCCCCACACUGGGACUGAGACACGGCCCAGACUCCUACGGGAGGCAGCAGUGAGGAAUAUUGGACAAUGGAUGGAAAUCUGAUCCAGCCAUGCCGCGUGCAGGAAGACGGCCCUAUGGGUUGUAAACUGCUUUUAUAUGGGAGCAAUAAGGUCUACGAGUAGACCGAUGAGAGUACCAUAUGAAUAAGCAUCGG
rnacentral:rRNA from 1 species